rnacentral:rRNA from 1 species
AGUGAACGCUGGCGGUAGGCCUAACACAUGCAAGUCGAACGGCAGCACAGUAAGAGCUUGCUCUUACGGGUGGCGAGUGGCGGACGGGUGAGGAAUACAUCGGAAUCUACUUUUUCGUGGGGGAUAACGUAGGGAAACUUACGCUAAUACCGCAUACGACCUACGGGUGAAAGCAGGGGAUUUUCGGACCUUGCGCGGUUGAAUGAGCCGAUGUCGGAUUAGCUAGUUGGCGGGGUAAAGGCCCACCAAGGCGACGAUCCGUAGCUGGUCUGAGAGGAUGAUCAGCCACACUGGAACUGAGACACGGUCCAGACUCCUACGGGAGGCAGCAGUGGGGAAUAUUGGACAAUGGGCGCAAGCCUGAUCCAGCCAUACCGCGUGGGUGAAGAAGGCCUUCGGGUUGUAAAGCCCUUUUGUUGGGAAAGAAAAGCAGCAGGUUAAUACCCCGCUGUUCUGACGGUACCCAAAGAAUAAGCACCGGCUAACUUCGUG